GCAGUCGAGGGGCAGCACAAGGUAGCAAUACUGAGGUGGCGACCGGCGCACGGGUGAGUAACGCGUAUGCAACCUGCCUGUAACAGGGGAAUAGCCUCUUGAAAGAGAGAUUAAUGCCGCAUAAUACGAUAUUCGGGCAUCCGGGUAUUUUUAAACAUUUAUGGGUUACAGAUGGGCAUGCGUUUCAUUAGGUAGUUGGUGAGGUAACGGCUCACCAAGCCGACGAUGAAUAGGGGUUCUGAGAGGAAGGUCCCCCACACUGGUACUGAGACACGGACCAGACUCCUACGGGAGGCAGCAGUGAGGAAUAUUGGUCAAUGGACGCAAGUCUGAACCAGCCAAGUCGCGUGAAGGAUGAAGGUAUUAUGUAUUGUAAACUUCUUUUGUCAGGGAAUAAUGGGUGUCACGUGUGACGCAGAGGAAUGUACCUGACGAAUAAGCAUCGGCUAACUCCGUGCCAGCAGCCGCGGUAAUACGGAGGAUGCGAGCGUUAUCCGGAUUUAUUGGGUUUAAAGGGUGCGUAGGCGGUUUGUUAAGUCAGUGGUGAAAGUUUGCGGCUCAACCGUAAAAUUGCCAUUGAAACUGGCGAACUUGAGUACAGUAGAGGUAGGCGGA
rnacentral:rRNA from 1 species